rnacentral:rRNA from 1 species
CCUACGGGAGGCAGCAGUGGGGAAUAUUGGGCAAUGGGCGCAAGCCUGACCCAGCAACGCCGCGUGAAGGAAGAAGGCUUUCGGGUUGUAAACUUCUUUUCUCAGGGACGAAGCAAGUGACGGUCCCUGUGUAUUAAGCCACGGCUAAAUACGUGCCAGCAGCCGCGGUAAUACGUAGGUGGCAAGCGUUAUCCGGAUUUACUGGGUGUAAAGGGCGUGUAGGCGGGAAUACAAGUCAGAUGUGAAACCCACGGGCUCAACCUGUGGCCUGCAUUUGAAACUGUAGGUCUUGAGUACUGGAGAGGCAGACGGAAUUCCUAGUGUAGCGGUGAAAUGCGUAGAUAUUAGGAAGAACACCAGUGGCGAAGGCGGACUACUGGACAGCAACUGACGGUGAGGCGCGAAAGCGUGGGGAGCAAACAGGAUUAGAUACCCCGGUAGUC